rnacentral:rRNA from 1 species
AUGCAACGACAGGUUGACCGCGGUCAUGAGCCCCGGGCCAACGGCGGCGACGAACUGAGCCACGGCGGGGCUGGCGACCACGGCGGAAAAGAGAAGGUCGGCCACCUGGACCGCGACGAGGUUUUCGCUAGGGUCGCAGAAGAAGUAAGAGAGAAGCCCGGCAACCCUUUCGGUCGUGAAACACACCACCGGGAAGGAGGCAACCACCCAGAGCUUGCCCGGGGAGCAGAUCUCGGAGCGGCCGGGCAAAAGGACACGCCGGAGAGAAAAGACGACUGGACACGUUUAUGGAAGGAGAUACCUGGUCGGGUAACAAUGGCACGGGGGCGGGCGUUGGAGUCUUCCACAGCAGAGCCCAGCUCAGUGUCGGUGUCCGAUCUCUCCGCAUGAUCCAAGCUGGCUCUGUUGGACAUGAUCAAGGCGGUCACUUUCCUUCCUAGUCAUCUCUCCGCGUUCGUGGCCAAGAACGCGGAUGGAUCGCGCAGCGGCGUGGUCACCGCCUGGGACCCUUCAUCCUAUGCCCUGCUCUCCUCCUUUGAAACCAAUUUUUCGGUCACGGUUAAGCUGGCGUGUGCUUCUUCUGGUGCCGUCAUCUUCCUGACCAACGUCUACGCCCCCUCUGACCACUCGCUCACCGACGAGUUUGUCGACGACAUGCUGGCUAUCCCCCCUUCUAUGCUUGACCGUGCUUUCUUCGACGAUGCAUGGGACGUUUGCUUCCCGGACACGGCCCUUGCGUCGCUCCCUCGUGCCACCUCAGAUCACGUCCCUCUCCUGGUCACGGCUUCCACCAAGAUUCCGGCUCCUUCCAGAUUUUUCUUCGAAAAUGUGUGGCUCCUAAACCCCGCCUUCCUCCCUGCCAUGCUCCCGUUUUGGUCUGGUUCAGUUUGUGGUACAGGCGCAGCUGGUGUGCUUGUGGCUAGAAAAGAAGCUUUCAGGUCCGCGGCCAAGGUUUGGAAAAGGCAGCACCGGUACAUUCCCACCUUUGAUAAUGACUGUAGAUUCUUGAUUGAUCUCUUUGACUUUCUGGAAGAAAAUCGUGUUCUCUCCACAUACGAGGCUGCGCUUCGAUGUGAUGCGCGACUUGCCUUGGCCGCGUCGAUCAGGCGCCAGUGCGCGCACUGGCAUCAAAGAGGGAAACGUCGGGCGGUGUGUGAGGGUGACGAGAACACCCGGCUCUUUCAUGCCUCGGCGUCGCAGCGGCGUCGCCGCAACUCCAUCAGCGCGCUGGAAGUCGAAGGGGUCCAGGUUGUGGACCAUGCAGGGAAGGCCGCAGUGCUGCUGGCAUACUACUCCGCCCUUCUGGGCUGGCCCAGGAUGGCUAUGUGGCGGUUCGACCUGGCGGGCCUUUACGCCCAGGCGUCUCGGGUCGAUGGCGCAAAACUGGUGGCUCGUUUUGAUCUCGCCGAGAUCAAGACGGCGGUCGACAAGCUCGAUCGAUCGAGCGCGUCUGGCCCCGAUGGGCUCGGUCCCGCCUUCUACCAGGCGGCGUGGGGGGCGGUGGCCGGCGAUCUCCAACGGCUUUUUGACGAGUUCCACGCCAGCACAGCUCGGUUGGACGGGAUCAAUCGCGCCUACGUCGCUCUGCUCCCCAAAGGUGGGGAGGUGUCGACGCCUGCAUCCUUCGGCCCGGUCUCGUUGCAAAACGAAGAUGUGAAGAUACUGUGCCGAGGGCUCACGUCGAGGCUGCAGCAACAGAUCCCCCUCUUGAUCGAUGAAGACCAGUCUGGGUUCGUGCGGGGGCGAAGCAUCUCCGAAAAUUUCAUCUACGCCACUGAGCUCAUGCAGUGCUGUCAUCGGCGAGCGGCGCCCAUGAUGGUUCUUAAGCUCGACUUCGCCAAAGCUUUCGAUUCCAUCUGCUGGGCGAGCUUGCGCGCAAUCAUGGAAGCAGGGCCCCCCGUCUCUUCCUACCUCUUCCUCAUCGUCGUCGACGUCCUCCAGCAGCUCAUUCGCCAAGAUGCUGUGAUGCGCCACCCCCUGCUGCCGGAGGAGCCCGCAGUCGUGCUCCAGUACACCGACGACACGCUCAUCAUCAUGCGUGCGUGUGCGGACGGGGCUGCUCGCCUGCGGGUAAUCCUCGACCAGUUCACAGAAGCUACGGGGCUGGUUAUCAACUUCUCCAAAAGCACGUUGGUGCCACAGCAUACGGAGGGAGAGCUGCUGGCGCGGGUGGUGACCGCGCUCGGCUGCGCCACGGGUGCGUUCCCGCAAACCUACCUCGGGCAUCCGUUGUCAUGGGAAAAGCUGCGGUCCGCGGAUUUCCUGCCAAUGCUCGCGAAGGUGGACAUGGCCAAAAAUGAAGGAGGCCUUGGCGUUCGCGACCUCGCCACCCAGAACGCAUGCCUCCUCCUGAAGAUGCUUCAUCGCCUACACACGACGCCCCGGUCACGCCGGGCGGCCUGGAUCUGGAGCAGCACGGACGAGCGGUCCAUCCUCACGCGCGGCGAGCUAGCGUGCGGAGAACACCACGCCUCGGUGGCAAAACUGCUUCCGCUCUACCGCACGAUCACCAGGGUGACGGUCGGGGAUGGCCGGGCCUGCUCUUUCUGGUGGGAUUCCUGGCUCCCCUGCGGGCCUGUGGCGGUGGCGUACCCCGCCGUCUUCUCCCAUGCCACGGACGUCGAGGCGACUGUUUGGCAGGUCCGCCGGCGUGGCAUGACCGGUUGCCUAGUCCCUAGGCUGACCAGGGCGGGCGUGCGGGAUCUGCAAGACGUCUGGGCUCUCCUGGUGGCGGCUGCCCCCGGUGGGGGGGACGACAAGCGGCAACUACGGCAUGCUGCAGUGCCCCACGACGCUCUGUCGUCGAGUGCCGCGUACAGGUUGCUGCGUUUCGGCGGGGCGAAGGCUGGCUUCGUGGAUAUGAUCUGGGGCGCGCGGAUCCCCUCGCGUGUGCAGUUCUUCAGUUGGUUGCUGGUCCAGAGGCGGAUACACACAAGGGACGUGCUGCUUCGCAAGUGCAUCGUCGCCGCGGCGGACGCCGGCUGCCCUUUGUGCGCUGAGCCCCUGGAAACAGCCGACCACAUGCUCUUCGCCUGCCCCUUCGCUUGUGACUUUUGGAACAAGCUGGGCGUCGACACUUCUGGGAUCAGGGCGGGCUGCCUCGCCUUGCCACUGCGGUGGGCGCGGUGA